GUGAGGAAUUUUCCGCAAUGGGCGAAAGCCUGACGGAGCAAUGCCGCGUGAAGGAUGAAGGCCUAUGGGUUGUAAACUUCUUUCGUCAGAAAAGAAUUAUGACGGUAUCUGAGGAAUAAGCAUCGGCUAACUCUGUGCAAGCAGCCGCGGUAAGACAGAGGAUGCAAGCGUUAUCCGGCAUGAUUGGGCGUAAAGCGAUUGUAGGUUGUUUAAAAAGUAUUCUGUCAAAGAUUAGGGCUUAACCCUAGAUAGGAAGAAUAAACUUUUAAGCUCGAGUUUGGUAGAGGCAGAGGGAAUUCCCGGUGGAGCGGUGAAAUGCGUAGAUAUCGGGAGGAACACCAAAGGCGAAGGCACUCUGCUGGGCCAAUACUAACACUGAGAGACGAAAGCGAGGGGAGCAAAUGGGAUUAGAAACCCCAGUAGUCC
rnacentral:rRNA from 1 species